AACGUAGGACGCAAGCGUUAUCCGGAGUUACUGGGCGUAAAGCGCGGGCAGGCGGCUCGAUGCGUCUGAUGUGAAAUCUCCUCGCUCAACGGGGGAGAGGCCAUUGGAAACGGACGAGCUGGAGGGCAGUAGAGGUAGGCGGAAUUCCUGGUGUAGCGGUGGAAUGCGCAGAUAUCAGGAGGAACACCAAUAGCGAAGGCGGCUACCUGGACAAUUGCUGACGCUCAGGCACGGAAAGCGUGGGGAGCAAACGGG
rnacentral:rRNA from 1 species